UUGCAGAUGAUGAACACUUCAAUUUUAUAUGAGCUGAUUUAAACAAUGAGGCUUCAUAAUCGAGCUUUUUAAAACUGAUGCAAC